rnacentral:rRNA from 1 species
CUACGGGAGGCAGCAGUGGGGAAUAUUGGACAAUGGGGGCAACCCUGAUCCAGCCAUGCCGCGUGAGUGAAGAAGGCCUUCGGGUUGUAAAGCUCUUUCAGAUGCGAAGAUGAUAACGGUAACAUCAGAAGAAGCCCCGGCUAAUUUCGUGCCAGCAGCCGCGGUAAUACGAAAGGGGCAAGCGUUGUUCGGAUUUACUGGGCGUAAAGGGCACGCAGGCGGUCUUGCCAGUCAGGGGUGAAAGCCCGGGGCUCAACCCCGGAACUGCCUCUGAUACUGCAGGACUAGAGACUAGGAGAGGGUGGUGGAAUUCCCAGUGUAGAGGUGAAAUUCGUAGAUAUUGGGAGGAACACCAGAGGCGAAGGCGGCCACCUGGACUAGAUCUGACGCUCAGGUGCGAAAGCGUGCCGCUCAUUCUUUACGAUGAUUAGAUACCCUGGAAGUCCACGCCGUAAACCCAUCAGACUAGUAGUCGGGAUUUCGAUUUCGGUGACGCAGCUAACGCAUUAAGCACUCCGCCUGGACCCGGAAGCUGCUAAUUGUAA